AUUGAACGCUGGCGGCAUGCCUUACACAUGCAAGUCGAACGGUAACAGGUCUUCGGAUGCUGACGAGUGGCGAACGGGUGAGUAAUACAUCGGAACGUGCCCGAGAGUGGGGGAUAACGGAGCGAAAGCUUUGCUAAUACCGCAUACGAUCUCAGGAUGAAAGCAGGGGACCGCAAGGCCUUGCGCUCACGGAGCGGCCGAUGGCAGAUUAGGUAGUUGGUGGGAUAAAAGCUUACCAAGCCGACGAUCUGUAGCUGGUCUGAGAGGACGACCAGCCACACUGGGACUGAGACACGGCCCAGACUCCUACGGGAGGAAGCAGUGGGGAAUUUUGGACAAUGGGCGCAAGCCUGAUCCAGCCAUGCCGCGUGCAGGAUGAAGGCCUUCGGGUUGUAAACUGCUUUUGUACGGAACGAAAAGACUCUGGUUAAUACCUGGGGUCCAUGACGGUACCGUAAGAAUAAGCACCGGCUAACUACGUGCCAGCCGCCGCAGUAAAAC
rnacentral:rRNA from 1 species